UUACACAAUCGUCUGAUCCCUUUUUUAAUUGUUAGCGACUACUCGCGCGAAAUAAUUUGGCACGCCCAGUGGGACCUUGGUGUUUGGUAUUGAAGAUACAAAAGGUGAAACAAUAUACCUCACAAAUCUGAUAAGGAAGCAGCAAGUCAGGGAGGAGUCCAGUCUGUGAUCGAGCGAUAUGAGAAGCGACAAAGCUCUCUACGAACAGAGGGACAGAGUCAGAGUAGUUACAGUCGUUACGAACCAAUGACAGAGUUGAGUUCUCGAACCAUGCGUGCAUUGCUUGAAGAACUCACACAGGAUGUCAUUGAACGGGUAAAUCUACGAAAUGUUCAUAAUAUGGAAAGAUUUACCCAAAAUGGGAAUGCACAUUAUGACAACAUGGCCAAACAACUGAAUACAUUAAAUGAAAUAAUG
rnacentral:lncRNA from 1 species